GACGAACGCUGGCGGCGUGCUUAACACAUGCAAGUCGAACGGAAAGGCCCUGCUUGCAGGGUACUCGAGUGGCGAACGGGUGAGUAACACGUGGGUGAUCUGCCCUGCACUUUGGGAUAAGCCUGGGAAACUGGGUCUAAUACCGGAUAGGAGCCAUUUUUAGUGUGAUGGUUGGAAAGUUUUUUCGGUGUAGGAUGAGCUCGCGGGCUAUCAGCUUGGUGGUGGGGUAAUGGCCUACCAAGGCGGCGGCGGGUAGCCGGCCAGGGAGGGUGGACGGCCACAAUUGGACUGGGGAACGGCCCAGGCUCCCACGGGGGGCAAGAAGGGGGAAAAUUGCACAAUUGGGGCAAACCUGGUGCAGCGACGCCCGGGGGGGGGUGACGGCCUUCGGGUUGUAAACUCCUUUCGCGAGGGACAAAACUUUUUGUGACGGUACCUGGAGAAGAAGCACCGGCUAACUACGUG
rnacentral:rRNA from 1 species